AACAAAUGUGAUUAAUAAAAAUGAAAAAAAAAUAAUAUAGUAGACAACAAAAUUAAGCACUAGAAACAUAUUAUAACAUCAUAUCUAAGAGUUCAUCAAGAAAAUACAAUAUUAGGCCGAACCACCAACUUAUUAUUUUUUUCUUUCAAGUCAAAAAAUACACAAUGUGGUGAUUCUAAAUACUGUUCACCCUCAUUUUCGUCUCGAGCUACAUGCAUUUUUCAGUUACCACCGUCGCCGCUCCCAUAGCCUUCACCAUACCCUCCACCAUACCCUUCUCCUUGGCCUGAGCCACCCCCACCCCCACCCCCUCUGCCUGAUCCUUUGCCAGAGCCUCGGCCUUGGCCCCGACCCGAUCCACGUCCCUGAUUCCCUCCGGAUCCUGAACCUGCUCGUGAUCCUGCGUAAGAUCCAGCAUAUGAACCUGCUUCAGAACCCGCACCAGACCCAGAACUUGAACUGGAAGAGGAUGAAGCUGAACUUGAGCUUGAACUGGACCCAGAACCAGAACCGGAACCGGAACCAGCUCCAGCCCCUGAACCACUGCCACCACCUAAACCAAGACCUAAACCGGCUCCAACCCCAAGUCCUAUGCCGCCAAGAUCCACACCCAAGUCCUUCCUUUGAACCCUACUAUCAGACACUGUUAUUGACAUUGCAAGAAGCAAAGCAAUAGCAGCUAGGGACUUAACUGCAUUCAUGUUUGUGAUGUUUCAAGAAGAAUGUUAGCGCUUGGAAAACGCCGUUCAAGACUUCAAAGCAACUGAGCCUUAGAGGAAGAUAUGGGAAAUUCAGGUAUUUAUAGACGUGGAAAA
rnacentral:misc_RNA from 1 species